GGGUUGUGAGGUUAAGCGACUAAGCGUACACGGUGGAUGCCCUGGCAGUCAGAGGCGAUGAAGGACGUGCUAAUCUGCGAAAAGCGUCGGUAAGGUGAUAUGAACCGUUAUAACCGGCGAUGUCCGAAUGGGGAAACCCAGUGCAAUUCGUUGCACUAUCGUUAACUGAAUACAUAGGUUAACGAGGCGAACCGGGGGAACUNGAAACAUCUAAGUACCCCGAGGAAAAGAAAUCAACCGAGAUUCCCCCAGUAGCGGCGAGCGAACGGGGAGCAGCCCAGAGUCUGAAUCAGCUUGUGUGUUAGUGGAACGGUCUGGAAAGUCCGACGGUACAGGGUGAUAGUCCCGUACACCAAAAUGCACAGGUUGUGAACUCGAAGAGUAGGGCGGGACACGUGGUAUCCUGUCUGAAUAUNNGGGGGGACCAUCCUCCAAGGCUAAAUACUCCUGACUGACCGAUAGUGAACCAGUACCGUGAGGGAAAGGCGNAAAAGAACCCCGGCGAGGGGAGUGAAAAAGAACCUGAAACCGUGUACGUACAAGCAGUGGGAGCACCUUCGGGUGUGACUGCGUACCUUUUGUAUAAUGGGUCAGCGACUUA
rnacentral:rRNA from 1 species